AUGGAGGGAAAACAACAAUGGGACAUGGUGGACCCUGGAUUCAAGCUUUGCGUUCUAGUUCUGAAGAGAGCAGCAGGUAGACCAAGGAAGAGUCGAAUCAGACCUCGCAGCGAAGGAGGUGGACUUGGAGCGAGGAAGCGUAAGUGCACAAGGUGUGGUGGGUCUGGUCAUUUUGGUAAGUAUUGUGAUAACACAGUAGAUCCAGCGUUUGGAGAGAGUUUUGAUGAAGGCUUCGAUGAAAAUGUUGGCCAGCAGCCGGUUGCCUCAAUAGAUGAUGAAAAUGAUGGUCAACAGCCGGUUGCAUCAGAUGAGGAUUUUGACGAGGUUCCAAAUGAUGAUGGUCAACAGCCGCAUGAUUUUUACGAUGAUCCAAAAUAUCCUCCAAAUAAUGAUUCAAGUGAGGCUCCAAAUGGUGAUCCAAGUGAGGCUCCAUAUAGUGAUCAUGGUGAUCCAAGUGAGGCUCCAGAUGGUGAUCAUGGUGAUCCAAGUGAGGCUCCAAAUGAUGAUCCAAGUGAGGCUCCAAAUGGUGACCAACCUUCUGUUGUUGUGAGUUCUACUAGGUAUGUAAAUCUUGCAAGGGUCAAAUACUACUGUACAUUUAUCACUUGA
rnacentral:rRNA from 1 species